CCUCCCCUCAGUAAGGUCCGGACAUGUGAAAGAUGGAAGUGGACAUUCCACACAUCCGUUCGUAAGCAGCCAUACAGCGAUUUUCGUGAGGGGGGGACGUCUGUGGGGGAUUGUCGCGUCACCGUUGGUUAGUGGAUAUAGAUGAUACGUGUGCAAAUCUCGCUGUGUGCCAUGCGCUCCGUACGCGUCAACGAACCGAAUCGUUACCAGCUGUGUGCCUGUGUGUUGAUUGCUUGCGACCCGAGGACACCCUUGCUCUCGUUGUCGAAUUCGUUGGCCUGGUGGCCCUGGCCGACCGAGCUACCACUGACGGCCAGCUGCCAUACCGUCUCCACCCGUUAUAAUUACCACCACUCCAUUGCGGUCGAUCAUAAAUCUCAAAAUAGAUGACGCUCACGGAUGCACGUGGUGGCGUUGUUGCUGUUUGGGCAUCUUAGUUUGUGAGCUCUUUUUCUUUGGGGAUAGAGUACAGGUAAAGGUAUGAGUGCGGAAGUUAUGUUUGGACCAGUUGAAGAUGGAAGUCCGCUACCGUUGAGGAUACUAUCGAUAUUAACAGGGGGACGCCCUUGAGACAUAGGACGACUCGUGAGGAACUAGAGCACUAGAGAUUAAACUCAUCUCGAGGCUUAUAGAAUUGGACUUAGGACUUAGGAAACAGAGUUGACGGCGACGAUCUUGAGGUAGCAGAGGAGUUUUGCUACAGUUGGCAGGCAAGAGUCCUGGACUUGACGGAUGGCGGAGGACGCCAAUCUUUUGCUUGUGCAGGGCGUGUGGAGAAGGAGAAUGAACCAUGAGCUAGCUGAGCUGUUUGGUUUGGGGUGCUCUCCAGCAACCCGUACAUCACGACGCGUAGAGGAGCAGCACAGCGAGCACGUUGGCUAGAUUAAGUCAGUCCUGAGAGAGAUCGGAUGUAGCCAUCGACCGUGUUACCUGUAAACGAAUUUGACACCAGGCCAUGACUUAACGACGUGCUCCAUAGCAUCUGGCCAAGAAAGAAGUUCGAUGUGAUGAAGACAAAGUACCUACCUGUCGGAGGGUUAGAAUAUCCUGAGGGUGACCCCAACCGGAAGGAUACAAUGGUUACGAACACGCUGCAGUCGUCAGUCAGACCGGUGCAAGCGGUUGCAGUCCUGAUACGAUGCGUGCCCUACCGUGCACGGACCAAGAAGUCUGAGAAGCAGAAGAAUGCUUACCCCUUGUUCGAGUUUGGGCUGAUAGACAUUUAUUUUAGGGCAGUACUACAAUGGAUGUUUUCCUCAUUUUACAAUUCCUCUCAUUUGGCUCAGCAAUUCAUGUGUGCCCCGGCAAAGCUUAACGUAAUGGCUGACUCUGUUAUGGACAACGUGACGUAAAAAAUAUAUUACGAAAAUGGAAAGAAAGCUACAAUAAACGAUGAUUGUGCGGGGGGGGGGGGGGGGGGGGGAACCGUGGAUACGCCACA